rnacentral:rRNA from 1 species
GACGAACGCUGGCGGCGUGCUUAACACAUGCAAGUCGAACGGAAAGGCCCUGCUUUUGUGGGGUGCUCGAGUGGCGAACGGGUGAGUAACACGUGAGUAACCUGCCCUUGACUUUGGGAUAACUUCAGGAAACUGGGGCUAAUACCGGAUAGGAGCUCCUGCUGCAUGGUGGGGGUUGGAAAGUUUCGGCGGUUGGGGAUGGACUCGCGGCUUAUCAGCUUGUUGGUGGGGUAGUGGCUUACCAAGGCUUUGACGGGUAGCCGGCCUGAGAGGGUGACCGGCCACAUUGGGACUGAGAUGCGGCACAGACUCCUACGGGAGGCAGCAGUGGGGAAUAGUGCACAAUGGGCGGAAGCCUGAUGCAGCAACGCCGCGUGCGGGAUGACGGCCUUCGGGUUGUAAACCGCUUUCGCCUGUGACGAAGCGUGAGUGACGGUAAUGGGUAAAGAAGCACCGGCUAACUACGUG